UGUAAGCGUAUACCAAAGUUGUUGCAGUUAAAACGCUCGUAGUCGGAAUUUGGCAGUUCCGGAUGUGUGCACGUCGUAUGCGCACUUCGCGGGGAUUGCUUUUGUGGUCUUGCGUAGGAUGAGGCACUUUUAUUAGUGAACGUCCUCACGCAACCACUUUUUACUGUGAGAAAAUCAGAGUGCUCAAAGCAGGCAUUUGCCGUGAAUGUAUUAGCAUGGAAUAAUAGAAUAGGACUUGGCUCUAUUUUGUUGGUUUGUUGGGACUGAGUAAUGAUUAAGAGGGACAGUUGGGGGCAUUUGUAUUUCGGUGCUAGAGGUGAAAUUCUUAGAUUACCGAAAGACAAACUGCUGCGAAAGCGUCUGCCAAGGAUGUUUUCAUUGA
rnacentral:rRNA from 1 species